CCCGCAACGAGCGCAACCCUUUUCCUUACUUGCCAGCAUUUCGGAUGGGAACUUUAAGGAUACUGCCAGUGACAAACUGGAGGAAGGCGGGGACGACGUCAAGUCAUCAUGGCCCUUACGGCCAGGGCUACACACGUGCUACAAUGGUCGGUACAAAGGGUUGCUACACAGCGAUGUGAUGCUAAUCUCAAAAAGCCGAUCGUAGUCCGGAUUGGAGUCUGCAACUCGACUCCAUGAAGUCGGAAUCGCUAGUAAUCGCGGAUCAGAAUGCCGCGGUGAAUACGUU
rnacentral:rRNA from 1 species